GGUCAAGUGAAGAAGCGCAUACGGUGGAUGCCUUGGCAGUCAGAGGCGAUGAAAGACGUGGUAGCCUGCGAUAAGCUUCGGGGAGUCGGCAAACAGACUUUGAUCCGGAGAUCUCUGAAUGGGGGAACCCACCUGGCAUAAGUCAGGUAUCUUGUACUGAAUACAUAGGUGCAAGAGGCGAACCAGGGGAACUGAAACAUCUAAGUACCCUGAGGAAAAGAAAUCAACCGAGAUUCCCUUAGUAGUGGCGAGCGAACGGGGACUAGCCCUUAAGUGGCUUUGAGAUUAGCGGAACGCUCUGGAAAGUGCGGCCAUAGUGGGUGAUAGCCCUGUACGCGAAAAUCUCUUAGUCAUGAAAUCGAGUAGGACGGAGCACGAGAAACUUUGUCUGAAUAUGGGGGGACCAUCCUCCAAGGCUAAAUACUACUGACUGACCGAUAGUGAACCAGUACCGUGAGGGAAAGGCGAAAAGAACCCCGGAGAGGGGAGUGAAAUAGAUCCUGAAACCGUAUGCGUACAAGCAGUGGGAGCCUACUUGUUAGGUGACUGCGUACCUUUUGUAUAAUGGGUCAGCGACUUAUAUUCAGUGGCGAGCUUAACCGAAUAGGGGAGGCGUAGCGAAAGCGAGUCUUAAUAGGGCGUUUAGUCGCUGGGUAUAGACCCGAAACCGGGCGAUCUAUCCAUGGGCAGGUUGAAGGUUAGGUAACACUGACUGGAGGACCGAACCGACUACCGUUGAAAAGUUAGCGGAUGACCUGUGGAUCGGAGUGAAAGGCUAAUCAAGCUCGGAGAUAGCUGGUUCUCCUCGAAAGCUAUUUAGGUAGCGCCUCAUGUAUCACUGUAGGGGGUAGAGCACUGUUUCGGCUAGGGGGUCAUCCCGACUUACCAAACCGAUGCAAACUCCGAAUACCUACAAGUGCCGAGCAUGGGAGACACACGGCGGGUGCUAACGUCCGUCGUGAAAAGGGAAACAACCCAGACCGUCAGCUAAGGUCCCAAAGUUAUGGUUAAGUGGGAAACGAUGUGGGAAGGCUUAGACAGCUAGGAGGUUGGCUUAGAAGCAGCCACCCUUUAAAGAAAGCGUAAUAGCUCACUAGUCGAGUCGGCCUGCGCGGAAGAUGUAACGGGGCUCAAACCAUACACCGAAGCUACGGGUAUCACUUAGGUGAUGCGGUAGAGGAGCGUUCUGUAAGCCUGUGAAGGUGAGUUGAGAAGCUUGCUGGAGGUAUCAGAAGUGCGAAUGCUGACAUGAGUAACGACAAUGGGAGUGAAAAACUCCCACGCCGAAAGACCAAGGUUUCCUGCGCAACGUUAAUCGACGCAGGGUUAGUCGGUCCCUAAGGCGAGGCUGAAAAGCGUAGUCGAUGGAAAACAGGUUAAUAUUCCUGUACUUCUGGUUAUUGCGAUGGAGGGACGGAGAAGGCUAGGCCAGCUUGGCGUUGGUUGUCCAAGUUUAAGGUGGUAGGCUGAGAUCUUAGGUAAAUCCGGGAUCUUAAGGCCGAGAGCUGAUGACGAGUUGCCAUUAGGCGACGAAGUGGUUGAUGCCAUGCUUCCAAGAAAAGCUUCUAAGCUUCAGGUAACCAGGAACCGUACCCCAAACCGACACAGGUGGUUGGGUAGAGAAUACCAAGGCGCUUGAGAGAACUCGGGUGAAGGAACUAGGCAAAAUGGCACCGUAACUUCGGGAGAAGGUGCGCCGGUGAGGGUGAAGGACUUGCUCCGUAAGCUCAUGCCGGUCGAAGAUACCAGGCCGCUGCGACUGUUUAUUAAAAACACAGCACUCUGCAAACACGAAAGUGGACGUAUAGGGUGUGACGCCUGCCCGGUGCCGGAAGGUUAAUUGAUGGGGUUAGCUAACGCGAAGCUCUUGAUCGAAGCCCCGGUAAACGGCGGCCGUAACUAUAACGGUCCUAAGGUAGCGAAAUUCCUUGUCGGGUAAGUUCCGACCUGCACGAAUGGCGUAACGAUGGCGGCGCUGUCUCCACCCGAGACUCAGUGAAAUUGAAAUCGCUGUGAAGAUGCAGUGUAUCCGCGGCUAGACGGAAAGACCCCGUGAACCUUUACUAUAGCUUUGCACUGGACUUUGAAUUUGCUUGUGUAGGAUAGGUGGGAGGCUUUGAAGCGUGGACGCCAGUCUGCGUGGAGCCAUCCUUGAAAUACCACCCUGGCAACUUUGAGGUUCUAACUCAGGUCCGUUAUCCGGAUCGAGGACAGUGUAUGGUGGGUAGUUUGACUGGGGCGGUCUCCUCCUAAAGAGUAACGGAGGAGUACGAAGGUGCGCUCAGACCGGUCGGAAAUCGGUCGUAGAGUAUAAAGGCAAAAGCGCGCUUGACUGCGAGACAGACACGUCGAGCAGGUACGAAAGUAGGUCUUAGUGAUCCGGUGGUUCUGUAUGGAAGGGCCAUCGCUCAACGGAUAAAAGGUACUCCGGGGAUAACAGGCUGAUACCGCCCAAGAGUUCAUAUCGACGGCGGUGUUUGGCACCUCGAUGUCGGCUCAUCACAUCCUGGGGCUGAAGCCGGUCCCAAGGGUAUGGCUGUUCGCCAUUUAAAGUGGUACGCGAGCUGGGUUUAGAACGUCGUGAGACAGUUCGGUCCCUAUCUGCCGUGGACGUUUGAGAUUUGAGAGGGGCUGCUCCUAGUACGAGAGGACCGGAGUGGACGAACCUCUGGUGUUCCGGUUGUCACGCCAGUGGCAUUGCCGGGUAGCUAUGUUCGGAAGAGAUAACCGCUGAAAGCAUCUAAGCGGGAAACUUGCCUCAAGAUGAGAUCUCACUGGAGCCUUGAGCUCCCUGAAGGGCCGUCGAAGACUACGACGUUGAUAGGUUGGGUGUGUAAGCGCUGUGAGGCGUUGAGCUAACCAAUACUAAUUGCCCGUGAGGCUUGACCAU
rnacentral:rRNA from 2 species